rnacentral:rRNA from 1 species
CCUGUUUAUCAAAAACAUCGCCUCUAGAUACACAUGCAUUAGAGGUAAUGCCUGCCCAGUGAUUAUUAAACGGCCGCGGUAUCCUGACCGUGCAAAGGUAGCAUAAUAACUUGUCAUUUAAAUAAUGACUAGAAUGAAUGGCAAAACGAGAACUUAACUGUCUCCCUUAUUUAAUCAAUAAAACUGAUCUACUUGUACAAAAGCAAGAAUAUUAAUACAAGACGAGAAGACCCUAUGGAGCUUUAAACCCAUUAUUAACUAUAAUAACAACAAUUAUAACUUAACUAAUUGUUUUAGGUUGGGGCGACCACGGAGCACAAAAAACCUCCGAGAAAACAACUUAGAAAACAAACCAAAGUAAAAAACAUUUAAACAAUUGACCCAAUAAAAUUGAUCAACGAACCAAGUUACCCUAGGGAUAACAGCGCAAUCUUCUCUAAGAGUUCAUAUCGACGAGAAGGCUUACGACCUCGAUGUUGGAUCAGGAUACCCAAACAGUGCAGCCGCUGUAAAAGGUUUGUUUGUUCUACAAAUAAUAUCCUACGUGAUCUGAGUUNNNACCGG